AUACAUUCAAGAAAGAAAGAUUCUUAGCCAUGCACGACAAGAGGCGUGCAAAAGUUACACGCCACGCGGUAUUUCGAGUGAUUAAAGGGACUUUCGUGGAACAGCUUCUGGAGCAAAGUUACUAGCAACAAGUUUAAGACCAUCAGUUUUGAUGACUUAUCUUUCCAGCAUGACUGGCGAACAUGUCUAAAUGUUGGGAAAAAUGCUUUUGUAACCGUAAGAUUUUAAAGCAAGAAGCUAAUGCUCCUAACAUUGUAAAGAUCAGUAGAAACUGUUUUAAUCUUUCUUCUUUUAUACCUUAUGGCACCGAAUAUUUUUUAGUCUGUGGAAAAAUUACUUUUCAUUAAUUAACAAUAAUGAAAUCAAUACAUAUUUUUUUAUGGUUUUACAAAGAAGAUAUACUGUGCUAAAAGAAGACCAGUUUCACAAUCCACAAAAAUUUUCUUGAAACAUUGCAAGUCUUUUCGUUUGUUGAAAUAAGAGCAAGAGGGAGACAGAAAAAUUCAUAGUAACAGAGAAUGAGCCAAGGAUAAUACAGGUAGAACAAAUAAUCUAGAGAUCAUUACCGAUUGUCGUUACGAUAAGAACAUACGAGACGAACGUAAACGUAGCUGGAAGAUUUAAAAGGACGUGUUCACUUUGUGCCUGUUGUCUCGUUUACGACGCCAUUGAAGCUAACGUAGCUCGUAAACCAAGGAAACUGAACUGCUGGAUCGUUGCACGGAAUACGAAAUGCCCGGUGAACAUUUUAAAUUCCAUCGAAACACGUUUAAUUAGCACGUGCACCAAUGUCUCGUGACGUCUCACGGAAUCAACGAGCCGAGAAAACUCAUCGUGCGACCAAUUCCGGCCGAAUGAUCGUGCUAUUUUCGCGUGUACUGCACGCACGUCCGAGAUGACGUGACUGUGCCAGGCCGCUUCUUAUUCGAGUCGCGUCGCGAAUACGAUGGUUUGUAGGCGAAAUUCUCGAAAUUGACGAUCGGCGUGCCGCUUUUGGCAAUUAGGAAUCAUGGAUGCGUAGGUGGAGCUUUGUGACGAUUUCCCUUCGUUACAGUGGUACACAGUUUCCCUUUUAAAUAGAGGAAUCUGGUGUGAAUAAUUCUUUAAUUUUAGAAUUUUUAGGUAAUUCCAGUAUGGUUGGCCCAUAGUUUUUGACAAUCAACUGAGUCAACGAUUAUUCUUGCGUAUAGGAAAAUUCAUUACAGUUUCGGUGCAUUAAAAUGUUAUUUUCAAAUCGAGAACAGCGGAACAAUUUUUAGCGGAUCUUCGAGAUUUAUAUCUAAUUUGAAUAUGAAUAAUUCUAUCUAGAAUUUUUUAAACGAUUCAGCUGAUUGACAUAUCUACAGUUUCUGACGAUUGAACCGCUUGAAAAAUAUAGAAAAUUGAAGAAAGACAGGUUAAAAUUGGACAAGGAAAAUUUAGAAUAAAUUUUACUCGACCGAACCGAAGACAAUUAACCGGCCAACCAUUCCAUAGGUCUAUACCUGUUACAAGCUCGCUAUUUUCCUGCGCUUUGGUCCUCGUUCGUGCGCAAAACCAAAUUAACGGUUGAAUAACUGUGUCUCUUUCUCUAUCCAUCUCUUUUCGUAACCAUUCGAACGUUUAGAUCCGCGAACCGUUCGAAUGAUUGAUUACACGCCCGAGGAUUGCUGACUUAAAAGAUCAUUAAAAGAUCGAUGGAAAUCUGCGAUGCAGCUGUGCAAUGUAACACAAAAACACGCGCAAACACCGAGAAAAUACGUCACGGUAUAUUCCAAAUACACGUGCGCGUGUAACACGAAAAUCUCAGCCAAGUUUGGCCUCGGGAAAGAUGCUGAAUUACCAGAGGAAGAUACGCAGAAAGUUUCUAUUCUGCGUGCUGAUACGGCCGAUAACAAUAGAAGCAGUUGUUUCUACUUUUGGAUCUUUCUUCCACAAUGCACCGGAUCAAGCCUUUUCACAGUUCAUACGUAGCUUCAUCCGAUUAAACGAGAUAUAGCAAAUUUACAGACGAUCGCAAAUAUUCCGACGAAGUAGGAGAUAAUUUUAUUAUAAAUAAAUAAAGAAUUAUUAAAAUAAUGAUUAAUACGAAUUACUGUGGAUGUUUGUCGUUGAUAGAAAUUCAUAAUUAUAUGAAAACAAGUAAAAAAGGAGGAAUAUGAAUAGAGUUUUGUUUCAUCUAUGUAUUUAAUAUUAUAACGAAAAUACUAUACUCUGAAUGUUUCAUAUACUUUUUAAUAUUCUGCGCAUACCUUCAAAUUUGUCGGAAAUGCGUAAAAAUCCUCAGUCUAAAUAUUAGUAUUUCUUGAAAUGCACGCUUUCAAGGUCAUUGAUUACAAAGCCACGAAGCAAAAUAAGUAGAAUGAAGAAAAUAAUUCCACGUCGAAGUGUAUCCAGGCACCAGCUGUGUAAAGGCGCGUGCAUAGAGUGUGAAAUGUGGAAGCGCAUGUGUGUGCAAACCGCGUGGAGAAGGACAAGAUCGUGCAAAUAUCAUAAUUAUACUUACCAUAGCGCUCCACCUUUAAAGCAAUCCAUGCAGACCGCGUUGAUUCACCCUCCUGUUUGAACCUUUUGAUUGUUGAUCAAUGCUAUCGAUCAUUUUCUCGAAUAUUGAAUAAUUGCACGAUAUUACGAUGUUAAAAGAGAACGUGAUGAGAAAAAAGAUCAAGCAAAUGAACGAGGUCUUUCACGUUUCUCGACCGGAUCCCAACAAUAUUUCUUUCUUCUUCUCUAAUGGAAGAAAAGGAAAACGAAACUAAAGAAAGAUCACUGAAUAAAAAUUCAAUAGACGGAGAAGUCUAGAGGGUGUCUAAUUUACAUAACAAUUUGCACAGGGAAUUAAUUCGAGGAGGUUCUGUUGUCCCUUUACACGUGGGACCAACAGUCGUGGAAACCGUAUGAACGGAAGAAGCGCGGUUCGCGUUAAAAGGCGAUUUCUCGCCGAGAUAAAACACCAGUGAUUUGUUUUGUCUCUCUCUCUCUCUCUCUCUCUCUCCCACCUCCAUGAUAACGGUGGAAAUUAAUGAAAGAGCAACGUUUAUAAGCGAUUACGAUAUAGCCAGUAGGAUUUCAUAAGCGAAAAGGAGAAAAAAGCAUAUGUAAUGGAAACGAAAAAAAGAAAAAGCAGAAAAAUCAGACAUAUACAGAGUGUUAAAAAAGAUAAGCGAUAUUCAUGUGGUGUGAAUUUGAAUAUCAAAGCAAUGGAGAAAAUUUAUGAAGAAAUAAAUGACAUUUAAUAUUCACCAAUCUAAUAAUUUUACGCUAGAAAUACAUCGAUAGCCGUAUAGAAUGAUAAUGGAUAUCUAGAAUUGUCUUGAAAUCACACCACAUAAAUGUUACCUGCUUUUUUUAGCGCACUGUAGAAGAGCAUUUUUUCACGCACUGAUUACCGAGAUACCUUUCCUGCUUUUUUUGUAUACGAUUCUUAUCGCCUCUCGUUGAAACCAUGAGAGCUCUCACAGAGAUUAUCCCGCAAUCAGCGAAGUUAGGAGUGGAGAAUGGCGAGAGGAACGAUCCUACAAGUCUUUCAGUAAAGAAAACACGGUGAUGCGAGCACGGCGUGAUUUUACGCUGCUGGAAAAGCGAUUUUGAAUGAACUACCCCGGCCAUUCGUGUGCGCUUGUUGUUUCUUAUUUUCAGAAACAGACGAUUCACCGCGAACAAGAGACGUCUUGUCUUUUCAAGAUUAAAGGAAACGAAAUAGAGUUUUUUCGCUCGUGAUUCUUUCUUUGGUCGAACGAGAUCCAUCGGAGUUUCCUCGGUAAAGUAACAAGUUGAGCAGAAACGAAGGAAGUAGAAUAGGAUCUUAGUCGGGCAUAGAGAAACACAAGACGUUUCCGCGACCAGAACCGGGAAUGCGAAACGAUACAUAUCGAUGAUUCGAUAAACAUCCUAGUUUCUAUCUUUGAGCAGCAAUAUAACUUGAUUAACCGGCAUGCACCGAUGUUAAAAUAUCGAGCUUGUAUCCCUGAAACGAGCCCAGAACAAAGGAAUUUUACGAUGGCGCUUAAAACUUUCCUCCCUUUCAUUACGCUCAUAAUACCUAACGGGCAAGGAUUAGGAUAAGGAAAACACAAUCUUUGUGCGGGACGGAAUUCUAACUUCUCCAGAUUGAUAAUAAUCUAUUUGGAAAUUUAUCUGAGAGCAGAGUUACGAUGUUAAAUAUUAAAAAGGAAAUAAGUCCAGUAUACAGGAUAUUUCGGUAAUCGUGAAAUUCUGUCUUACCAGGAACUCGUUUCACAAAUUGAAAUGUAAGCAAAAUCAGUAAGUAAACGGAAAUUUUAUCUAAA